AUGGAAUGUACAAGUCGUUAUGAAAUCAAAUGAGCCACCUCCAUCUUGUAAUUCCUGCUGCAAUCUCAGCGCGUAAAGGCUGAUACUUGGCGAAUCUCUUUUGUCUCGCGUAGACAUUUAUUAUUAAGUGUCAAAAUUAGCGCUAAUCAAUUCUCAGACGAAUCACAGCAUAAAGAAGAGAAACGAUUACAUAUGAUAUACGUCAUUUCAAAAGGGAGUCCGCGAG